rnacentral:rRNA from 1 species
AUUGAACGCUGGCGGCAGGCCUAACACAUGCAAGUCGAGCGGAUGAAGGGAGCUUGCUCCUGGAUUCAGCGGCGGACGGGUGAGUAAUGCCUAGGAAUCUGCCUGGUAGUGGGGGAUAACGUCCGGAAACGGGCGCUAAUACCGCAUACGUCCUGAGGGAGAAAGUGGGGGAUCUUCGGACCUCACGCUAUCAGAUGAGCCUAGGUCGGAUUAGCUAGUUGGUGGGGUAAAGGCCUACCAAGGCGACGAUCCGUAACUGGUCUGAGAGGAUGAUCAGUCACACUGGAACUGAGACACGGUCCAGACUCCUACGGGAGGCAGCAGUGGGGAAUAUUGGUCAAUGGGCGAAAGCCUGAUCCAGCCAUGCCGCGUGUGCGAAGAAGGUCUUCGGAUUGUAAAGCACUUUAAGUUGGGAGGAAGGGCAGUAAGUUAAUACCUUGCUGUUUUGACGUUACCAACAGAAUAAGCACCGGCUAACUUCGUG